CCUACGGGAGGCAGCAGUGAGGAAUAUUGGUCAAUGGACGCAAGUCUGAACCAGCCAUGCCGCGUGCAGGAUGACUGCUCUAUGAGUUGUAAACUGCUUUUAUACAAGGGUAAACCCCGAUACGUGUAUCGGGUUGAAAGUAUCGUACGAAUAAGGAUCGGCUAACUCCGUGCCAGCAGCCGCGGUAAUACGGAGGAUCCGAGCGUUAUCCGGAUUUAUUGGGUUUAAAGGGUGCGUAGGCGGUUUGAUAAGUUAGAGGUGAAAUGUCGGGGCUCAACCCUGAAAUUGCCUCUAAUACUGUUGGCCUAGAGAACAGUUGCGGUAGGCGGAAUGUAUGGUGUAGCGGUGAAAUGCUUAGAGAUCACACAGAACACCGAUUGCGAAGGCAGCCUACCAAACUAUAUCUGACGUUGAGGCACGAAAGCGUGGGUAGCAAACAGGAUUAGAUACCCUUGUAGUC
rnacentral:rRNA from 1 species